rnacentral:rRNA from 1 species
CAUCGCAGCUACCAUGCAAGUCGAACGCUCCGCAAGGAGAGUGGCAGACGGGUGAGUAACGCGUGGGANUCUACCCAAUUCUACGGAACAACAGAGGGAAACUUCUGCUAAUACCGUAUACGCCCUACGGGGGAAAGAUUUAUCGGAAUUGGAUGAGCCCGCGUAAGAUUAGCUAGUUGGUGGGGUAAUGGCCUACCAAGGCGACGAUCUUUAGCUGGUCUGAGAGGAUGAUCAGCCACACUGGGACUGAGACACGGCCCAGACUCCUACGGAAGGCAGCAGUGGGGAAUAUUGGACAAUGGGCGCAAGCCUGAUCCAGCCAUGCCGCGUAAGUGAUGAAGGCCUUAGGGUUGUAAAGCUCUUUCAGUGGGGAAGAUAAUGACGGUACCCACAGAAGAAGCCCCGGCUAACUUCGUGCCAGCAGCCGCGGUAAUACGAAGGGGGCUAGCGUUGUUCGGAUUUACUGGGCGUAAAGCGCACGUAGGCGGUUUGUUAAGUCAGGGGUGAAAUCCCAGAGCUCAACUCUGGAACUGCCUUUGAUACUGGCAAGCUAGAGUCCGGAAGAGGUAGGUGGAACUCCUGGUGUAGAGGUGGAAUUCGUAGAUAUUAGGAAGAACACCCAGUGGCGAAGGCGGCUUACUGGUCCGGAACUGACCGCUAGGUCNAAGC